GACGAACGCUGGCGGCGUGCUUAACACAUGCAAGUCGUACGGUAAGGCCCUUUCGGGGGUCCACGAGUGGCGAACGGGUGAGUAACACGUGAGUAACCUGCCCACAACUUUGGGAUAACGCUAGGAAACUGGUGCUAAUACUGGAUAUGUGCCCCUGCUGCAUGGUGGGGGUUGGAAAGCUCCGGCGGUUGUGGAUGGACUCGCGGCCUAUCAGCUUGUUGGUGGGGUAGUGGCCUACCAAGGCGGCGACGGGUAGCCGGCCUGAGAGGGUGACCGGCCACAUUGGGACUGAGAUACGGCCCAGACUCCUACGGGAGGCAGCAGGGGGGAAUAUUGCACAAUGGGCGCAAGCCGGAUGCAGCAACGCCGCGUGCGGGAUGACGGCCUUCGGGUUGUAAACCGCUUUCAGCAGGGACGAAGCUUUUUGUGACGGUACCUGCAGAAGAAGCACCGGCUAACUACGUG
rnacentral:rRNA from 1 species